CUACGGGGGGCUGCAGUGGGGAAUAUUGCACAAUGGGCGCAAGCCUGAUGCAGCCAUGCCGCGUGAGGGAAGAAGGUUUUCGGAUUGUAAACCUCUGUCCUUGGGGACGAAGAAGUGACGGUACCCAAGGAGUAAGCUCCGGCUAACUACGUGCCAGCAGCCGCGGUAAUACGUAGGGAGCAAGCGUUGUCCGGAAUUACUGGGCGUAAAGGGUGCGUAGGCGGCAUAUUAAGUCAGGUGUGAAAUACUCGGGCUCAACCCGGGGGCUGCAUUUGAAACUGAUAUGCUUGAGUGUGAGAGAGGAAAGUGGAAUUCCUAGUGUAGCGGUGGAAUGCGUAGAUAUUAGGAGGAACACCAGUGGCGAAGGCGACUUUCUGGCUCAUAACUGACGCUGAGGCACGAAAGCGUGGGGAGCAAACAGGAUUAGAUACCCUCGUAGUC
rnacentral:rRNA from 1 species